GCUGGGCGUGGUGGCGCACGCCUGUAGUCCCAGCUACUCAGGAGGCUGAGGUAGGAGAAUCACUUGAACCCAGGAGGUGGAGGUUGCAGUGAGCCGAGACUGAGCCACUGUACUCCAGCCUGGGUGACAAAGCGAGACUCUAUCUCAA
ensembl:misc_RNA Metazoa_SRP Metazoan signal recognition particle RNA